rnacentral:lncRNA from 1 species
UAGUCCAUGUGCUCUAAAGCAUAGCAAAUUACUGUUUAGAAAAAGCACUCUGCAGUCCCCUGCGCAAGCCAAAGCGAACUCCUUGGCACGAUGCCAUUCCCACUGACAAUAAAAAGUAGUCUCGUGGAGGAGGUUCUCAAGAGGGCUCCAGAGCUGGUGUGCGCAGCGGCAGCGCAGGUGCAAGCAGAGACCAGCUCAACCAACACGAUCAACCUGCAGCAUUCGGCAAGACAAAAACCUCCCGCUAUUUAAAUGCUGCACUAAGCACAUGCUGAGCAGCGCUCCCCUUCCCGCUAUGAGCAACGAUUUCAGUCCUUCAAAGAUUCCCGAACGCACCAAAACCCACCUUUAGCAUGCGGAGCAGGCGAGGCAGUGCGUAGGAGUGCACAGACCUUUCUCCUCUAGCAAAGCGUUUGCUGGGGCCUCAUUAAAUGCCUUCCCCACUUUGCUUUUGUCUCUUCUCAGUUUUCUUCUGCGUCAAACCUUCCUCCUCACAACCUUUUCCCAGUUUAAUCCCUUCACCAUUUGAGGGGGCUGAAGUUACCGAGCAGUUUGAUUUUACUAUACCAGCACAGCUCCUUGUAAGCCUCAGGAGUGGACAUCAUGGGAGUGACUGGAGAUUACUUCUGAUGUGGCUUCUAGUUUUAUUUCCUAUGUGCCAUUAUUCCUUUUUAUUUCUUCUUCUUUUUCCCCACAUUGCCCCAGAAUAUGUGGAAAAAUCAGUUUUGUUUUUUUAUGUCUCUCUCCGUUCACGUCUCCUCCCUUUAGUUUUAGGGUAUUGCCCGUGCCCUACACACCCUCACGGAGUGAUGCAAUGGAGAAUCAGGAGGAGGCUGAGAGCAGAGCUGGAGUCCUGGCUGCAGACAAGAAAUAGGGUACCUACAGAUGGGCUCUGGGGACCCCUACCUGUUCAUGUUGACUGGAACCCAGAAGGGGAUCUGAAAAUAACACCUCAGAAACAUUUCUAUGGAGAGCAUGUAAACAAGGAGGAGGAAAAUAAUACAUCACAGUAUUACUGUCACCAGAUAUUGGAAUUGCUGCUGUGUGCUGUGGCAUCCUGUCCCAUCGUACCGUGGAGUAGAUGA